UUUCCGUAGGUGAACCUGCGGAAGGAUCAUUACAGAGUCCGCCUACUUGUAGGCACCUCUCACCCUUGAAUACAUACCUUUGUUGCUUUGGCGGGCCGUGGUUUCCCACUACGGGCUCAGCUCGUACGCGCCCGCCAGAGGAUUAAACUCUGAAUAUUAGUGAUGUCUGAGAACUAUAUAAUAGUUAAAACUUUCAACAACGGAUCUCUUGGUUCUGGCAUCGAUGAAGAACGCAGC
rnacentral:misc_RNA from 1 species